AGAUACACUGACACCAUCUUUAUGACCUAUUUAAAGCUGGAAACUGAAUGCAAUUUCCUUGAUUUCCAUCACAGGCAAGGAAAAAGGAAGCAGGUCAUCAUGCAUAUAGCAUUUUCAAAGUGCAUAUAUAAUACUUAGCUCCAUGACUGAUUUGAAAUUGGAAGAUUAUGCAUCAUUUCCUGCCUUCAGUUUAUGGAAAGAUUUAAAUUUGAUAAGAAGUAUGGCUUUGAAAAUGGG